AUUGAACGCUGGCGGCAGGCCUAACACAUGCAAGUCGAGCGAGCGGCGGACGGGUGAGGAAUGUAUGGGGGUAUGCCCGAUAGAGGGGGAGAACAAAUGGAAACAGUAGCUAAUACCGCAUACUAUAGGAGGAACACAUAUGGGAUUAGCUAGUAGGUGAGGGAAUGGCUCACCGAGGCGACGAUCCCUAGAUGGUCUGAGAGGAUGAUCAGCCACACUGGGACUGAGACACGGUCCAGACGCCUACGGGAGGCAGCAGUGGGGAAUAGUGCACAAUGGGCGCAAGCCUGAUGCAGCCAUGCCGCGUGGAUGAAGAAGGCCUUCGGGUUGUAAAGUACGUUCAGUCGGGAGGCGUUACCGACAGAAGAAGCACCGGCUAACUCCGUGCCAGCAGCCGCGGUAAUUC
rnacentral:rRNA from 1 species